GGGGAAUCUUAGACAAUGGGGGAAACCCUGAUCUAGCCAUGCCGCGUGAUCGAUGAAGGCCUUAGGGUUGUAAAGAUCUUUCAGAUGGGAAGAUAAUGACGGUACCAUCAGAAGAAGCCCCGGCUAACUCCGUGCCAGCAGCCGCGGUAAUACGGAGGGGGCUAGCGUUAUUCGGAAUUACUGGGCGUAAAGCGCACGUAGGCGGAUCAGAAAGUCAGAGGUGAAAUCCCAGGGCUCAACCUUGGAACUGCCUUUGAAACUCCUGGUCUUGAGGUCGAGAGAGGUGAGUGGAAUUCCGAGUGUAGAGGUGAAAUUCGUAGAUAUUCGGAGGAACACCAGUGGCGAAGGCGGCUCACUGGCUCGAUACUGACGCUGAGGUGCGAAAGCGUGGGGAGCAAAC
rnacentral:rRNA from 1 species